UACAGAGGUCUCAACCGUUGUUCGGAUUCAUUGGGCGUAAAGGGUGCGUAGGCGGUCGUGCAAGUCGGAUGUGAAAUCUCAGGGCUCAACCCUGAAACUGUAUUCGAUACUGCGCGGCUAGAGUGCUGGAGGGGAGACUGGAAUUUACGGUGUAGCAGUGAAAUGCGUAGAUAUCGUAAGGAAGACCAGUGGCGAAGGCGAGUCUCUGGACAGCAACUGACGCUGAGGCACGAAGGCCAGGGGAGCAAACGGG
rnacentral:rRNA from 1 species